CCUACGGGAGGCAGCAGUGAGGAAUAUUGGUCAAUGGCCGAGAGGCUGAACCAGCCAAGUCGCGUGAGGGAAGAAUGUCCUAUGGAUUGUAAACCUCUUUUGUCAGGGAGCAAAGUCACCCACGUGUGGGUGUUGGAGAGUACCUGAAGAAAAAGCAUCGGCUAACCCCGUGCCAGCAGCCGCGGUAAUACGGGGGAUGCGAGCGUUAUCCGGUUUUAUUGGGUUUAAAGGGUGCGUAGGCGGGUUAUCAAGUCAGCGGUAAAAUCGUGGAGUUAAACUCCAUCCAGCCGUUGAAACUGAUGGUCUUGAGUGGGCGAGAGGUAUGCGGAAUGCGUGGUGUAGCGGUGAAAUGCAUAGAUAUCACGCAGAACUCCGAUUGCGAAGGCAGCAUACCGGCGCCCGACUGACGCUGAAGCACGAAAGCGUGGGUAUCGAACAGGAUUAGAUACCCUAGUAGUC
rnacentral:rRNA from 1 species